AUAACCUUGGCAAGCGAAUUAAUCUCCCUGUGCCUCUAUUUCCCCACCUGCAAAAUGAGAUGAUACCACCGACCUGGUGGAGGGUGUGAAGUUUAAA